AGUGCUUUAGUUUGACACCCCGAAACUAGGGGAGCUACUCCAAGACAGCCUAUUUAUAGGGCGAACCCGUCUCUGUGGCAAAAGAGUGGAAUGAGCUUUGAGUAGAGGUGAUAAACCUACCGAACCUAGUUAUAGCUGGUUGCCCGAGAAAUGGAUAGAAGUUCAGCCUCUCAGAUUCUUUAUUCACCUCAGUAUUACCCCACCUGAUACCACAAGAAGCUGUGAGAGUUAUUCAAAGGGGGUACAGCCCCUUUGAAACAAGAUACAACUUUUCCGGGAGGAAAAAGAUCAUAAUUAAAUAAAGGUAAGUAUUUGGGUGGGCCUAAAAGCAGCCAUCCCAGUAGAAAGCGUUAUAGCUCAAAUACAUCACUACCCCUCUCUAUCCUGAUCGGUAAUUCUUACUCCCCCCUUCCUACCGGGCCAUCCCAUGCAUACAUGGGAGGGACCCUGCUAAUAUGAGUAAUAAGAGAGCCAAGCCUUUCUUCUUGCCACAUGUAAUUCGGAACGAACCCGCACCGAGCAUUAACGGCCCAACGAAGAGGGACCUGACCACCAACCCAAACAACCGGAAAAAAAUUCAAACAUAAACCGUUACCCUACACAGGUAUGCACCUUAGGAAAGACUUAAAGAAAGAGAAGGACUCGGCAACAAAUCAAGCCUUGCCUGGUUACCAAAAACAUCGGCUUUUGCAAAGCUAAAUAAAAAAAGGGCCCCCCUGCCCUGGGCUAUUAGUUAACGGGCCGGGGAUAUUGACCGUGCAAAGGUAGCGCAUUCACUUGUCUUAUAAAUGAAGACCUGUAUGAAUGGCUCAACGAGGGCUUAACUGUCUCCUCUUUCAAGUCAAUGAAAUUGAUCUCCCCGUGCAGAAGCGGGGAUAUAAACAUAAGACGAGAAGACCCUAUGGAGCUUUAGACACCAAAGAAGAUCCUGUCAAGUAACCCCUUAUAAGGGCCUAAACUAAUGGAAUCCUUCCCUAAUGUCUUUGGUUGGGGCGACCGCGGGGAAACAAAAAACCCCCACGUGGAAAGGGAGCACCGCCUCCUACAACUAAGAGCCGCAGCUCUAAUUAACAGAAUAUCUGACCAAUAAGAUCCGGCAAUGCCGAUCAACGGACCGAGUUACCCUAGGGAUAACAGCGCAAUCCCCUUUUAGAGCCCAUAUCGACAAGGGGGUUUACGACCUCGAUGUUGGAUCAGGA
rnacentral:rRNA from 1 species